rnacentral:rRNA from 1 species
UACGAGGGGGGCGAGCGUUGUUCGGAAUUAUUGGGCGUAAAGGGUGCGUAGGCGGUUCGGUAAGUCUUGUGUGAAAUCUUCGGGCUCAACUCGAAGUCUGCACGAGAAACUGCCGGGCUGAGUGUGGGAGAGGAAAGUGGAAUUCCCGGUGUAGCGGUGAAAUGCGUAGAUAUCUGGAGGAAUACCGGUGGCGAAGGCGGCAUCCUGGACCGGAGUGUACACUGAGGAGCGAAAGCCAGGGGAGCAAACGGG